CCCAGAGUCCGGCCCGCUAGGUGCCUGGUGCUCCGCUCUGCGCUCAGCUGCUCCGCACAGCCCCGCCUGGCACGCAGCUCCAGCGGCUGGUCGGGUAGUAGUCGGUCCCGCCCACCCGGUGCGGUGGCCCCUGGGGUUUCAGUCCAAGGGGAGGGACCAGCGCUCCAAGAAGGUGAGGCUGCUGGGAUGGGUGACUCCGCCGUCACUGCAAACACGGGACGUCCCGUCUACUCCCUUACGCCUGCUUGGUCUGAGCCCGAGUCUACCUCUUCUCUAAGUCGCCAGCUCGGCACUUGUACCCGGGACCUGUGCUCCUCCCACUUCCAGGAUACCUGUGCAGGACAUGACAUGCAGGUUUGUCAUGUAGGUAAACAUGUGCCAUGGUGGUUUGCUGCACCUGUCGACCCAUCACCUAGAAGGAAAAAAUUGGACACGGAGAUAAGGACAGAGGAAAGAUGAUGUGAAGACAGGGGCAGAAGUCAGCCAUCUACAAGUCAAAGGGAGACAUGUGGAACAGAUUCACCCUCACAGCCCUCAGAUGGAAGCAACACCACUAACACUUUGCUCUUGGACUUCUAGCUUCCAGAACUGAGAGACAAUAUCUUUCUGUUGCUUAAGUCAUUCUGUCUGUGAUACUGUGUUUAUGGCAGCCCUGGCAAACUAAUACAGUCCCACAAAGAUUUGGUUGUUGCUUUGCAAGAGAAUGUAUAAUUCCUGGUUAUUUCUACAAAUAAGGGCAUUGACUUUAUAAAGCUACAA
rnacentral:lncRNA from 1 species